GACGAACGCUGGCGGCGUGCUUAACACAUGCAAGUCGAGCGGUAAGGCCCUUCGGGGUACACGAGCGGCGAACGGGUGAGUAACACGUGAGCAAUCUGCCCUUCACUCUGGGAUAACCCCCGGAAACGGGAGCUAAUACCGGAUACGACCACUUCAGACAUCUGAUGGGGGUGGAAAGUUCGGGCGGUGGAGGAUGAGCUCGCGGCCGAUCAGCUUGUUGGUGGGGUAACGGCCCACCAAGGCUUCGACGGGUAGCCGGCCUGAGAGGGUGACCGGCCACACUGGGACUGAGACACGGCCCAGACUCCUACGGGAGGCAGCAGUGGGGAAUAUUGGACAAUGGGCGAAGGCCUGAUCCAGCAACGCCGCGUGAGGGAUGACGGCCUUCGGGUUGUAAACCUCUUUCAGCGCAGACGAAGCGAAAGUGACGGUAUGCGCAGAAGAAGCACCGGCCAACUACGUGCCAGCAGCCGCGGUAA
rnacentral:rRNA from 1 species